UGGAUGUUUGUGACAUGUCAUUGGAACACA
rnacentral:piRNA from 1 species